CCUACGGGAGGCAGCAGUGGGGAAUAUUGGACAAUGGGGGGAACCCUGAUCCAGCCAUGCCGCGUGUGUGAAGAAGGCCCUCGGGUUGUAAAGCACUUUCAGUGAGGAAGAACGCCUGGUGGUUAAUACCCAUCAGGAAAGACAUCACUCACAGAAGAAGCACCGGCUAACUCCGUGCCAGCAGCCGCGGUAAUACGGAGGGUGCGAGCGUUAAUCGGAAUUACUGGGCGUAAAGCGCGCGUAGGUGGCUUGAUAAGCCGGUUGUGAAAGCCCCGGGCUCAACCUGGGAACGGCAUCCGGAACUGUCAAGCUAGAGUGCAGGAGAGGAAGGUAGAAUUCCCGGUGUAGCGGCGAAAUGCGUAGAGAUCGGGAGGAAUACCAGUGGCGAAGGCGGCCUUCUGGACUGACACUGACACUGAGGUGCGAAAGCGUGGGUAGCAAACAGGAUUAGAUACCCCAGUAGUC
rnacentral:rRNA from 1 species